AUUGAACGCUGGCGGCAGGCCUAACACAUGCAAGUCGAGCGAGCGGCGGACGGGUGAGUAAUGUAUGGGGACUGCCCGAUAGAGGGGGAUAACUACUGGAAACGGUGGCUAAUACCGCAUACUAUCGGAUAACCCAUAUGGGAUUAGCUAGUCGGUGGGGUAAAGGCUCACCUAGGCGACGAUCUAUAGCAGGGUUGAGAGGACGAUCGGCCACACUGGGACGGAGACACGGCCCAAAAUCCUACGGAGGCAGCAGUGGGGAAUCUUUGGCAAUGGGCGAAAGCCUGAUGGAGCCAUGCCGCGUGUAUGAAGAAGGCCUUAGGGUUGUAAAGUACUUUCAGCUGGGAAGCGUUACCUGCAGAAGAAGCACCGGCUAACUCCGUGCCAGCCGCCGCGGUAAUAC
rnacentral:rRNA from 1 species